rnacentral:lncRNA from 1 species
GCCAUCCCAGGAAGAAGGAACUCUGUAUGCAAAGGCACGGAGUCAUGACAGUGUCACGUGUGAAAGGAAUGCUGGGCAUCCUGAGACUGUCCUUGGGCUACAACAGAGCCGUGCACGUAUCUGGGAAACAAGCCCUGUAGCAGCUCUGGAGAAGCCAUUCCUCAAGGAGAGCUACCUGCUGCAAUACUCUCCAAAUGAACUUCCUGUAAGGACGGGCGCCUGUUUUGAGGUAGGGCAUUCCCAAAGUACCACCAAAUGUUGGUGAGUAUCACUGAAUGGUUCUCAAGUGGUUCACAGUUUGGACUUUUAUUUGGGGAAAGAAAUGGUCACAGUGAC